AAUACCUGUCUUCUUCUCCUCAACCCACGGGUACACCACGUGUGUGUUUCUUAACAACAUGAGAGAAAGAUUAAGACCCAGAUUUUGACACGGUGAAUCACCUGACUAGCGAGAUACCACCGGCGGCCUCAGAUGGCAAUGACAACGACGAACUCAUUUCAAGACGACACAGCAGGAGAUGCAAGAAACAGAAGCUCAUGUCCGUGGUUUUGCAGAAUGGGGAGAUGCAAGACAAGAAACAGAAGCUGAUGCCCGUGGUUUUGCAUAGUGGGGGAGAUGUCAAAAUCAAUCAACGGUGGUAGUGGUGGUGGCCGAAUUCGUUUUUUUUUUUUUUUUUUCUUGCUAUGUUUUCAGUCUCGCCUCCAACCGAACUCCGGUAUUGAUUUUUGAACAAUUUUGAUUAUUGUUUAUCUAUGAACAAAGUUGGGUUACCCUGUGAAAAACUUUAUUAUAGUUAGGUUUAUCUGUCUCGAUUUCUGCAACCAAUUUCUAGGGUUCUUAGUUUGAAUUUGGGAUUUCUGAAUAUUUGUUGAAAUUAUAUGUUAUUGCUAUCAUCAUCAUGAGUAAAAAACUUUUUUUAUAUGGAUUUUGUUGUUUUACAAAAUCUAAAUAAAUCUUGCCUUAUGAAUUUUGUUUUAUACAGCAUAAGCUUGCAAGUAAUUGGUUGAAUAGCCCCACAUAGCAUUGUAUGAAUUAAAUGUACCCUUUAAUUCAUGAGUUUUUUGUUUCUUUUUAUUCCUAAUGCAGAUGUGUUAAUCUUUCAUACCUGAUCAUAUGCACGUAAUUGUAUAAUUAAUUAAUCAUUACAUUUUUCUAUGAUUUUAAAAAUUAUACUAAUAAUCUGUUGGAUUGUUGUCUUUUAGGUUGCAUGCUGGUUGUCGAUUUUUGUGAUAACAUCGCCUGUUGCUUUAAUCUGAAGGCUUGAAGGCUGCUGCUGGUGGGUUGCUGGGAUUUAUGAAUUAUGACAGCUGGACUUAUUCACGUAUUCUCACAAGCUGGUACCUCUUGACUGACCUCUGCUGGUAUGCAUGAUCUGCCAAUGUUAUGGUUAAACAAUAUAUGCUAUGGCACUUAUGUGAAGAUCAUGUUAGUUUGAAAUUAAACCACUAUGAGUCGUUCAUAUUUUACAAAUAACUAUUAUUGUUAAUUAGUUUGACAAAUCUUUCUUAUGUUCAUCUGUAUGACUAACCCUGAACCACCUUGAUGAGUAAAAAGGUAAAUCAUGAAAAGGUUCCCAACAGCGCCAAUGAGGUUCCAAAAACGCUGAGAACUCCAGCAGGGGAGGCAUACUGUUUUCGGUGACCUUUCGACGUCAUCAGAAACAAUGGGGAUGAGGCGCCGACGAACAAGCCAUCAAAUUUGUUUCAGCCAUCAAUGUGGACUAGAACACUGUUAAACACAAACGCAAGCUCGAUUAGGGAGAUGCUGACGCAUGUUGAAAGUCCCGGCUCUACAAAAAGAGGUAAAAAAGCAAUGUCUUAUCGCCUUGGCGGUGGUUUGUAGGCUGUGGAUAUCAAGAAAUGACCGUGUGUUCAAACAAAAAUCGACAGAGGUGAGAAGUUUGGAGGGAGGAGUGAAAGAAUUUUGAGUUUUUAGUGGCUAAUGCAAUGUUUUGUUUCACUCUUUUUUAUACUUUUCAGCUUCUUUUCGUCUUGCAGGUGCUUUUGAAUGAAUUGUUAGCUUUGCAGUUAAAAAUGACUUUAAAAUUUCACAUUUUAGUGUAGAUGGUCUGAUUCCUAGUUUUAAGCCCAAAAUCUUACAUCAUAAGUUUACAAACGUUUGUUGAAUUAAGGCCAUCAAAUUUUAUACAAUAUUUUGAUUUCGACUUUA